ensembl:snRNA U6 U6 spliceosomal RNA
GUACUCCCUUCAACACAUAUGCUAAUUGGAAUGAUAGAGAAGGUUAGCAUGGCUUCUGUACAAGGAUGGCAUGCAAGUCAGUGAAACAUUCCAUGUAUUU